rnacentral:rRNA from 1 species
GCAAGACCGUGAGGUGGAGCAAAACUCAAAAACUUGUCUCAGUUCGGAUUGUAGGCUGAAACUCGCCUACAUGAAGCUGGAGUUGCUAGUAAUCGCGAAUCAGCAUGUCGCGGUGAAUACGUUCCCGGGCCUUGUACACACCGCCCGUCACACCAUGAGAGUUGGCAAUACCCAACGUACGUGAUCUAACCCGCAAGGGAGGAAGCGUCCUAAGGUAGGGUCAGCGAUUGGGGUGAAGUCGUAACAAGGUAGC